GCUGACGAGCGGCGGACGGGUGAGUAACGCGUAGGAAUCUGCCCGGUAGUUGGGGAUAGCCCGGAGAAAUCCGGAUUAAUACCGAAUAAUCUCUACGGAGGAAAGGGGGCUUCGGCUCUCGCUACUGGAUGAGCCUGCGUGAGAUUAGCUAGUUGGUGGGGUAAAGGCCUACCAAGGCGACGAUCUCUAGCUGGUCUGAGAGGAUGAUCAGCCACACUGGGACUGAGACACGGCCCAGACUCCUACGGGAGGCAGCAGUGGGGAAUAUUGGACAAUGGGGGCAACCCUGAUCCAGCCAUGCCGCGUGUGUGAAGAAGGCUUUCGGGUUGUAAAGCACUUUCAGACAGGAGGAAGGGUUGAUGGUUAAUACCCAUCAACAUUGACGUUACUGUCAGAAGAAGCACCGGCUAACUCCGUGCCAGCAGCCGCGGUAAUACGGAGGGUGCGAGCGUUAAUCGGAAUUACUGGGCGUAAAGCGCGCGUAGGCGGCAAGUUAAGUUGGAUGUGAAAGCCCCGGGCUCAACCUGGGAACGGCAUUCAAAACUGGCUCGCUUGAGUACGGCAGAGGAGUGUGGAAUUUCCGGUGUAGCGGUGAAAUGCGUAGAGAUCGGAAGGAACACCAGUGGCGAAGGCGACACUCUGGGCUGAUAC
rnacentral:rRNA from 1 species